rnacentral:rRNA from 1 species
CCUACGGGUGGCAGCAGUGAGGAAUAUUGGUCAAUGGGCGCGAGCCUGAACCAGCCAAGCAGCGUGAAGGAUGACGGCCCUACGGGUUGUAAACUGCUUUUGUAAAGGGAUAAAGUGAGACAAGUGUACCUGUUUGUAAGUACUUUAUGAAUAAGGAUCGGCUAACUCCGUGCCAGCAGCCGCGGUAAUACGGAGGAUCCAAGCGUUAUCCGGAUUUAUUGGGUUUAAAGGGGGCGUAGAUGGUCUGGUAAGUCAGUGUUGUAAUUUUGCGGCUCAACCGUCAAAUUGCCAUUGAUACUGGCAGUCUUGAGUACAGUUGCGGUCGGCGGAAUUCGUGGUGUAGCGGU